AAUAGAUACCCGGGUAGUCCACGCCGUAAACGAUGAGUGCUAAGUGUUAGAGGGUUUCCGCCCUUUAGUGCUGCAGCUAACGCAUUAAGCACUCCGCCUGGGGAGUACGGUCGCAAGACUGAAACUCAAAGGAAUUGACGGGGGGCCCGCACAAGCGGUGGAGCAUGUGGUUUAAUUCGAAGCAACGCGAAGAACCUUACCAGGUCUUGACAUCCUCUGACAACUCUAGAGAUAGAGCGUUCCCCUUCGGGGGACAGAGUGACAGGUGGUGCAUGGUUGUCGUCAGCUCGUGUCGUGAGAUGUUGGGUUAAGUCCCGCAACGAGCGCAACCCUUGAUCUUAGUUGCCAGCAUUUAGUUGGGCACUCUAAGGUGACUGCCGGUGACAAACCGGAGGAAGGUGGGGAUGACGUCAAAUCAUCAUGCCCCUUAUGACCUGGGCUACACACGUGCUACAAUGGAUGGUACAAAGGGCUGCAAGACCGCGAGGUCAAGCCAAUCCCAUAAAACCAUUCUCAGUUCGGAUUGUAGG
rnacentral:rRNA from 1 species